GAUUGAACGCUGGCGGCAGGCCUAACACAUGCAAGUCGAGCGGAUGAAGGGAGCUUGCUCCUGGAUUCAGCGGCGGACGGGUGAGUAAUGCCUAGGAAUCUGCCUGGUAGUGGGGGAUAACGUCCGGAAACGGGCGCUAAUACCGCAUACGUCCUGAGGGAGAAAGUGGGGGAUCUUCGGACCUCACGCUAUCAGAUGAGCCUAGGUCGGAUUAGCUAGUUGGUGGGGUAAAGGCCUACCAAGGCGACGAUCCGUAACUGGUCUGAGAGGAUGAUCAGUCACACUGGAACUGAGACACGGUCCAGACUCCUACGGGAGGCAGCAGUGGGGAAUAUUGGACAAUGGGCGAAAGCCUGAUCCAGCCAUGCCGCGUGUGUGAAGAAGGUCUUCGGAUUGUAAAGCACUUUAAGUUGGGAGGAAGGGCAGUAAGUUAAAACCUUGCUGUUUUGACGUUACCAACAGAAUAAGCACCGGCUAACUUCGUG
rnacentral:rRNA from 1 species